rnacentral:rRNA from 1 species
CCUACGGUAGACAGCAGUGAGGAAUAUUGGUCAAUGGACGAGAGUCUGAACCAGCCAAGUAGCGUGAAGGAUGACUGCCCUAUGGGUUGUAAACUUCUUUUAUAAAGGAAUAAAACGAGGCACGUGUGCCUUUUUGCAUGUACUUUAUGAAUAAGGAUCGGAUAACUCCGUGCCAGCAGCCGCGGUAAUACGGAGGAUCCGAGCGUUAUCCGGAUUUAUUGGGUUUAAAGGGAGCGUAGAUGGGUUGUUAAGUCAGUUGUGAAAGUUUGCGGCUCAACCGUAAAAUCGCAAUUGAUACUGGCAGUCUUGAGUACAGUUGAGGUAGGCGGAAUUCGUGGUGUAGCGGUGAAAUGCUUAGAUAUCACGAAGAACCCCGAUUGCGAAGGCAGCUUACUAAACUGUGACUGACAUUGAUGCUCGAAAGUGUGGGUAUCAAACAGGAUUAGAUACCCUUGUAGUC